rnacentral:tmRNA from 1 species
GGGGAUGACAGCUUUGACAAUUACGGCUUAUUUAAUAAGCAAGCCGAGCUCCAAAAUCUCGCAAAACUUUUGGAAAACCAUAAGUGCAACAUACACCUAUGAACAACCAGUUUACGCAGUAGCGUAGACCUGCCCGGCUUUUAAGCCGUGGCCAUCUCGCCUGUUGAUUUCUAAUAAACAGGAUGGGGUGACAAAUUAUUAGGAUUGGCAAAUAGCCCUCCCAAACUAUCUGCUGAAAAAUUUGGGAUCGAGGCUUAAAAUUUUUGUUAUUUUUAUAUUUUAAACUUUCAAACUUUUAAAAUAACUAAGCUUGUAGUAUUGUUAAGUAAAUCGUUUUUGGACGAGAGUUCAAUCUCUCCAUCUCCACCA